rnacentral:pre_miRNA from 1 species
CAUGGCACCUGAUAUUGGCACGGCUCAAUCAAACUAAACGAUCCAAAUCUUUUGGGAAAUUUGAUUUGAUUGAGCUGUCCCAACAUCAUCGUUAGCCAAU